rnacentral:rRNA from 1 species
CUAAGAAUAUUCCGCAAUGGACGGAAGUCUGACGGAGCGACGCCGCGUGGAUGACGAAGGCCGAAAGGUUGUAAAGUUCUUUUGCUGGGGAAGAAUAACCGCAGGAGGGAAUGCCUGUGGGAUGACAAGAACCGGCGAAUAAGCCCCGGCCAACUACGUGCCAGCAGCCGCGGUAACACGUAGGGGGCGAGCGUUGUUCGGAAUUACUGGGCGUAAAGGGCAUGUAGGCGGCUUGGAAAGCCUGGCGUGAAAGUCUGCAGCUUAACUGCAGGGGUGCGCUGGGAACUGCUGAGCUUGAGUGACGGAGAGGGAGCUGGAAUUCCUGGUGUAGGGGUGAAAUCUGUAGAUAUCAGGAAGAACACCGAUGGCGAAGGCAAGCUCCUGGCCGAUGACUGACGCUGAGGUGCGAAAGUGUGGGGAUCAAACAGGAUUAGAUACCCUGGUAGUCCACACAGUCAACGAUAUGCACUAGGUGCUGGGGCGGUAGCUUCGGUGCCGGAGCGAACGUGGUAAGUGCACCGCCUGGGGAGUAUGCUCGCAAGGGUGAAACUCAAAUGAAUUGACGGGGUCAUAGCUG